rnacentral:rRNA from 1 species
UGGGGAAUUUUGGACAAUGGGCGAAAGCCUGAUCCAGCAAUGCCGCGUGUGUGAAGAAGGCCUUCGGGUUGUAAAGCACUUUUGUCCGGAAAGAAAUCCUUGGCUCUAAUACAGUCGGGGGAUGACGGUACCGGAAGAAUAAGCACCGGCUAACUACGUGCCAGCAGCCGCGGUAAUACGUAGGGUGCAAGCGUUAAUCGGAAUUACUGGGCGUAAAGCGUGCGCAGGCGGUUUGCUAAGACCGAUGUGAAAUCCCCGGGCUCAACCUGGGAACUGCAUUGGUGACUGGCAGGCUAGAGUAUGGCAGAGGGGGGUAGAAUUCCACGUGUAGCAGUGAAAUGCGUAGAGAUGUGGAGGAAUACCGAUGGCGAAGGCAGCCCCCUGGGCCAAUACUGACGCUCAUGCACGAAAGCGUGGGGAGCAAAACAGGAUUAGAUACCCUGGUAGUCCACGCCCUAAAACGAUGUCAACUAGUUGUUGGGGAUUCAUUUCCUUAGUAACGUAGCUAACGCGUGAAGUUGACCGCCUGGGGAGUACGAUCGCAAGAUUAAAACUCAAAUGAAUUGACGGGGUCAUAGCUG